rnacentral:rRNA from 1 species
AGGAGGCAGCAGUGGGGAAUUUUGGACAAUGGGGGCAACCCUGAUCCAGCCAUUCCGCGUGAGUGAAGAAGGCCUUCGGGUUGUAAAGCUCUUUCGGCAGGAACGAAACGGCGGGCUCUAACAUAGCCUGCUAAUGACGGUACCUGAAGAAGAAGCACCGGCUAACUACGUGCCAGCAGCCGCGGUAAUACGUAGGGUGCGAGCGCUAAUCGGAAUUACUGGGCGUAAAGCGUGCGCAGGCGGUUUUGUAAGACAGAUGUGAAAUCCCCGGGCUUGACCUGGGAACUGCGUUUGUGACUGCAAGACUUGAGUGCGGCAGAGGGGGGUGGAAUUCCACGUGUAGCAGUGAAAUGCGUAGAGAUGUGGAGGAACACCGAUGGCGAAGGCAGCCCCCUGGGUCGACACUGACGCUCAUGCACGAAGGCGUGGGUAGCAAACAGGAUUAGAUACCCCUGUAGUCCC